rnacentral:rRNA from 1 species
UACGGAGGGUGCAAGCGUUAUCCGGAUUCACUGGGUUUAAAGGGUGCGUAGGUGGGAAGGUAAGUCAGUGGUGAAAUCCCCGAGCUUAACUUGGGAACUGCCAUUGAUACUAUCUUUCUUGAAUACCUUGGAGGUGAGCGGAAUAUGUCAUGUAGCGGUGAAAUGCUUAGAUAUGACAUAGAACACCAAUUGCGAAGGCAGCUCGCUACACUAUUAUUGACGCUGAGGCACGAAAGCGUGGGGAUCAAACAGG